GGGGAGGCAUUGGCUAAAGCAAAUCAUCUUUGUCUAAGCAUAACUUCGUCCAGCCAGUUACAGGAACAAGUGGCUUCAUCUCAAAGUAAAAGUUAAAAAGAAAAAAAAAUUAAAGGAAACUGGGAUCUUUUGGCUCAACUAGCCAGUCUUGCAUCUGGAACUAAAAUCAGAGGCCAGCCUCAAAAAUGGACAAAGGACUUGAACAGAUGUCUCUCCAAAGAAGGCAUACAGAUGGCCCGUAAGGACCUGAAAAGACCUGCAACAUCACUAACCAUUAGGGAAAUGCAAAGCAAAACCACGAUUUACUACCGCUUUUCAACCAUCAGGAUACCUAGUGGGUUUCUUUUUUUCCAUUCCUUUCUUUAAAAAAAAAAAAAAACUUUUAUUUUAGGUUCGGGGGUACCUGUGGAGGUUUGUUACAUAAAUAAACUGGUGUGUCAUGGGGGUCUGUUGUACAGAUUAUUUCAUCACCCAGAUAUGAAGCCCAGUACCCAAUAGUUAUCUCUUCUGCUUCUCCUUCCUCCCACCCUCCACCCUCAAGUAGACCCCAGCGCCUGUCAUUUCCUUCUGUGUUCAUGAGUUCGUAUCAUUUACUUCCCACUUAUAAGUGAGAACAUGUGGUAUUUGGUUUUCUGUUCCUGUGUUAGUUUGCUAAGAAUAAUAGCCUCUAGCUCCAUCCAUGUUCCCACAAAAGACAUGAUCUUAUUCUUUUAUAUAGCUGCGUAGUAUUGCAUGGUGUAUAUGUACCACAUUUUCUUUAUCCAAUCUGUCAUUAAUGGGCAUUUAGGUUGAUUCCAUGUGUUUGCUAUGUGUGCAUGUGAACAGUAUUCCAUGUGAACAGUGCUGCAGUGAACAUUCGUGUGCACGUGUCUUUAAGGUAGAAUGAUUUAUAUUCCUCUGGGUAUAUACCCAGUAAUGGGAUUGCUGGGUCGAAUGGUAGUUCUGUUUUUAGCUCUUUGAGGAAUCGCCGUAUUGCUUUUUACAAUGGUUGAACUAAUUUGCACUCUCACCAACAGAGCAUAGGAGUUCCCUUUUCUCUGCAACCGUGCCAGCAUCUGUUAUUAAUUUUUUUUACUUUUUAAUCAUAGCCAUUCUGACUGGUGUGAAAUGGGAUCUCACUGUGGUUUUGAUUUGCAUUUCUCUAGUGAUCAGUGAUGUUGUGCUUUUUUUCAUAUGCUUGUUGGCCGCAUGUAUGUCUUCUUUUGAGAAGUGUCUGUUCAUGUCCUUUGCCCAAUUUUUAAGGGGGUUGUUUUUCUUCUGUAAAUCUGUUUAAAUUCCUUAUAGGUGCUGGAUAUUAGACCUUUGUCAGAUGCAUAGUUUGCAAAUAUUUUCUCUCAUUCUGUAGGUUGUCUGUUUACUCUGUUGAUAGUUUCUUUUGCUGUGCAGAGGCUCUUAGGUUUAAUUAGAUCCCAUCUGUCAACUUUUGCUUUUGUUGCGAUUGCUUUUGGUGUCUUUGUCAUAAAAUCUUUGCCCAUUCCUAUGUACAGGAUAGGAUACCAAAUAUUUUUUAAAAAGAAAGAAAGAAAAGAAGAAGCGUUGUCAAGGAUUUGGAAACAUCCGAACACUUGUGCAUUGCUAGUAGGAAUAUAAAGUGGUACAGUGUCUGUGGCAUGGUAAUUCCUUGAAAAAUUAAACAUGGAAUUACUACAUCAUACAGCGAUUCCACUUCUGGAUAUCUACAUUAGAAAAUUGAAAGCAAAGACUUGAACAGAUAUUUGCACAACAGUGUUCAUUAUUCACAAUAGCCAAAAAGUAGAAACAACCCAAAUGUCCAUCGAUAGAUGAAUAAAAUGUGGUACAUACAUGUAAUGAAAUAUUAUUCAGCCUUAAAAAGAAAUGAACUUCUGACUCAUGCUGCAACAUAGAUGAACCUUGAGGAUAUUAUGCUAAAUGAAAUAAGCCAGACACAAAAGGACAAAUACUGUAUAAUUCCAUUUACAUGAGUUACUGAGAAUAAUCAAAUCAUAGAGACGGAAAAUGGAAUCGUGGUUACCAGGAGAUGAGAGGAGAAGGGAGGGAGGGGGUUGGUGUGUCAUGGGUACAGAGUUUCAGUUCUGCAAGAUAAAAAAAAGUUCUGGAGAUGGAUAAUGGUGGUAGUUAGGCAAUAGUAUGAAUGUCUUUAGUGCCACUGAAUUGUACACUUAAAAAGGGCUAAAAUGGUAAAUUUUAUGUUAGGUAUUUUACCAUGAUUUUUUUUAAGUUCACUUAAAAAACAUCAGGAGCCUGCACCCCUUUUUGCACCAAGUCUUCCCAUCAGAGCAGGGACAGGCCAGGGAGGCUGCCUGUGUCACAGCCACAGGAGACAGUGGUUUCAGAUGGGGAUGGGUCCUGGAGACAUGGACAACCUCAUUCUCUCCUGUCCAAUCUCUCACCAGGGAUGACACGCAGCUAAGUGGUGGAGCCAGCAGCCAACCCAGAGACCCUUGUCCUUAUCCAUCUUCUGCUGUCUGUGCCCACAACCCAGUCUCCACCACUGUGCUGAGGUCCGUCUACUCAGGCCCAGGCAGAUCAUGCACCAUACAUUCCUCUCUGUUCCUAGGUUCAAUCUUUGCCUCAAAUGCCCUUUGUUCUCUCGAGCUGGAAAAAGAACAUCUGAGGAAGAUAUUGAUGGCUGACAGCAGGAAAAUCAGAAGUAUCUUUGCAAAUUAGAAAAUAAAGUGAAAGACCUCAUAGAUAACACUUUCUACAGAAACUCAGCUUUGUUUCCCUAUUCUCGUCCCAUCAUUGUUACAUUCCUGGCCCAGCUCACCCUCGGCACCGGGUGGCACAGCCCAGGAGUGAAACUGUUCCUCACCUCGACAAGCCGGGGGGACAUACAAUCCACAGAGCCCCCAGUUUAUUUGGCCUCCCCGUAGGUUUCUGCUGCAGCCUGAGUGAGGUUUACAUUUAUAAGGAGACCCUCAUUCUCAAUCUUAUAAGGUCCUCUUGGAAUAUUCCAGACAGGAAUGGAGCUGACAAGAUGCUUGGAAGGGUGCAGGGCUGCACGAAGCCACCUGUCCAUUUCCCCACCCUGAGACAGGGUCGCAGUGGAUGAGCACCCGCUUUAGGGACAUUGGAGGUGGGAAGCCCAUUGUCACUCCUGUGUUGACAUCACACGCUAGAAGGGAGUCUGUUUCCUCUCCCUGAAUCCCUGACACUGCAAGGAAGUUAUUUCCUCGAACUCUUGGGAAGUAGGGGAACUCCUGGCCACCAGCCUUUGUUUAACAGCCCUUCCUGUUGUCAAAGAGUGAUGCCCCCACCGCCCCCUGGCUCUGCUGCAAAGCAGGUGAUUUAACUUUGAGUCAUCUGGGUGACUUCUCAGAAGCCACAGAGGCUCACCAUGGCCUGUCACAAUGGGAAGACAGCUGAGUGUGAGACACAUGGAGACCCAGCCUUGACCACCACUGGGGAGGACAAGCUCAGGAGAAGGAAGAGGAGUGACUGGGAGGGAGGAAAACACAAUAGGACAGUGGCUCCACAACUUGAGCGCCACAAAAUCCCCUGGGGCCUGUGAGAACACAGAUGUUGGGGCACCUCCCCAGCAUUUCUGAUUCAGGAGGGCUGGGCAGGGCCUGAGAAUCUGCAUUUCCAAUGAGUCCAGGGUGGCGCUGAGCCUACUGAUGUGGGAUUGGAUAAGGAUGCCCCGUGCUGGACAUUUCUGGAAGGGACCCACCCACCCUCUACUGCCUCAGGACCAGCCUUGGUGCCCACCCUCCUCCAUCCCCACCUUUGUGCCCACAGCAGGGCUGAGUCCUCCCCACACCCACCAACCACCCCAUCUCUGCUGCUGCUGUGCUCUGCUCCUCGGACAGUCCUGGGUAUUUCCGUGUCCUGCUCUGCUCUGCAUCUCUGAACGCUGCCCCAGGCCUACACCCUUUGCAGGGGCCCUGACCUCCGUGAUUUGCCAGUUACCUGCUCCUUAUAAAGCCCCCACCUGCAACCUGACUGACAGACUCAGGGAUCCUCGUACCUGCCUGUGAUGUCUUUUCCUACCUAGCCUGACCUCCCAUCUGCAAAACCCUCCCAUCCUUGGAUGCCCAGCUUCACAUCCUCCAAGGACCCUCCUCUCCAAGACUUUCCAACUCCCAAGCGCCCACAGAGCAGUCACUGUUUCUCAACUAUGACUUCUUAUGAGUAACACUGAAAACACAGAUUCCUGUCUGUACCAAAAACCUUUAAAAAUUAAGAAUUAGCUGGGUGUGGUGGCGUGUGCUUAUAGUCCUGGCUACUCCGGAUGCUGCAGCAGGGGGAUCGCUUGAGCCCAGGAGUUCAGGGUUGCAGAGAUGUUGCCACUGCAGAUUGAAACCCUGUCACUAAAAAAAAAAAAAAAAAUACAUAAAAUAAAAUAAAAAUAGGUAGAUAGAUGAUUGAUAGAUAUGAAGGUAUGAUAUAGAGAUAUAUGCCAUACUUCAUUGUUAUUGAGUGCGUGCUUUUGCAAACUCAUCCCCUAUGCACACUGCCCCACCUCUCCAACCCAGAUCUGGAAUACAUCCCCAGGCAGGAGCUCCAAUAAGUCACUCAUCUAUGUUGUAUUAUAGUAAUUGUUUAUACAUAUACAAACAUAAAUUUACACUUAUUGUUACUAUUUGUGUGUACAUAUGUUUAUGGUAGGCAGAAUAAUAUCCUCCCCGCCUCCAGCAAAAUAUGACAAAAUAGGGCCAUCUCCUAAUCCCUGGAACCCAUGAAUAUGUUACUUUCCAUGGCAAAAGGGACUUUGCAGAUGUGAUCAAGGUUGAGAUGGGAAAAUUCUUCUGGACUAUCCAGGUGAGCCCAAUCUAAUCACACGAGCCUUUAAAGUGGGGAUCCUUUCCCCGAUGUGGGCACGGAGAGGUGUGAGCAUGGAAGGGUCAGAGACAGACGAAGGGGCCACCAGCCCAGGGGCAGGAAGAAGCCGGGAAGCACAGGAGAACAGAAUCUCCAGAAAGGAGAGCAGCGCCGCCACCUUCACGUUAGACCCAGGAGACCUGGGUCAGAUGGCUAGCCACCAGGAGUGUAAGAUGCUAAGUUUGCAUUGUUUUAAGCCACUGUGUUUGUGAUAAGUUGUUAGAGCAGCAGCAGAACUAAUACAGCGUGUGCGUGUGUGUGUGUCUGCAUACACAUGUGUGUGCACUUGUAUCCCUGCUAUGCCAGAGUUCUUAAAGACAAGAUGCAUGCUCAAAUCACCUUUGUAUCCCUUAUGGAACCCAGAAGGAACGUCACAGUGUGAACAUAUUAGUGUAAUUCCACCCAUAUAUUAGUAAUUCUUAAAUGACACAGAAUGUACAUUGACCGGGGCUGACAUUCAUUUCUAAGCCAAGAAAAAUGGUAAUGAGGUGCAAAGAGGAAACCUGUUGCCCUUGGGAUUAUCAAAAUCUCUCACCUCAGAAGAGGCUUUCUGGGAGACGUCAUGGCCCAAAUCAGGCCACAAGGAACUGCGUCUCCGGCCUGUAAUUAUUUCCUUUGACAAUGAUGCGCUAGACUCAUGCUGCUGCCAGUAGAACCCUAGAGCCACUGCACCUCCUUCCAGGGCCUCCACCUCCCACUGAUCCGGCCCAGAGGCAGAGCAGCAGCUACAAGGGCCAAGUCACAGCAUGGGGCAUCAGAAGACCCCAGGCCGGGCCCUACCCUCUAGCCCCUCACCCCUCUCCUUGCUGAAUGUGGAAGCCAGCUAAGUCCAGGCAGGUGGUUGGAGGGAUAGAGAAGGCCCAGGGAGGUUCUGGGUGCCAGAUGCAGGAGAGGAGACCAAAGGUGGGGAGAAGAGGGUGUUCCCAGGAAGGAGACGCCCUGCUGGGAAACCCUGACCCCAGCCAGUGGCCAGGAUGCCAGCUCUCUGCUGAGCCUAACAAGCCUGGUCGCACAUACAGCAUCGAAGCCCCAGUCCCAACCAGCUGGGCCAGGUGUGUGAUGACAUCACGGCUCUAAUGACCCCGCCAGGUGACCAAAAUCAACCUCGGGUCUGGGAUAAAGAGUCACUGACAUGAUAAAUACUGAAAGCCAAGCCGAUAAGAUGAAAUGGGUGGGUGGUUUCCCUUAAAGAGUUACUGAAGGGUUGUCCAAGCCUUUGACAACCUUCAUCAGAUGAACAAUUAUUGGUUGCAUGGUUGGUGCGAGCCAGGUGUGGAUGCAAAGGUAAGCAACACGUUCCCUAUCUAGGAGGAGGCAGAAUAAUUAAGAUUUCUUGGGAAUAAAAUCUGACCCAGCUCCUAGCACCUGCUCAACAAUCUUAGCUCUUUUAUUUACAUUUAUUCAGUCUCAGAUUUGCUCCCCGCUUCCUGUCCCCAUCCCUCAGCUUUUUCUUUUAGAGCAAGCAUCUAGUCCUUCUCUUGAUACCAAUGCAAAUAGCCGAGACCCUUCCAUUCAUGUAAGACCCCAUCUUCUUCCACUGCUAAAGAACUCUUGACUUAGUACAACAUAAAAGACUUAAAUUGUUUUCGGUUUAUCUACAUGAAGCCUGGCACUCUAAAAUUUCCAAAGGAUAUGGAGUUGCUUUGUGACCUUUUGCAACUUCCUUUCUUUGCAAAACAAAAAAAGGUGUCCAUCCUUCAAGCAGCCAGUUAGGUGGUUGAUAAAUAUCCGAGUUCUAAGAAAGAGGAUUACCAAGGGAAGAGAUAACUUCUGCACCUCCUCACAAGAGUACAGUGUGCAUGGGAUCCUAAUUUCUGAACCUGGGUCUUCCAUUUCUAAGUCAUUCUAAUGGCAGAUAUUAUGAAAAUAUUCUCACUCCCCCACAUUGCUCAGAAUCUUCUUGUCAUCAGAUAAUGUCUCAUAGAGGAAGGAGUCAUUUUCUGGGAGCUCUAACCACAAAAAACAUCUGGAGCCUUCUUAGAAUCCAGGGUUAAAGGUCAGGGUGACUGGAACAUUUGGGAUGGUCACAUCGUUCCUCUCCUAGCUUUACGUCAGGGAAACGUGGUACCACAGUGUGAUUCGGUACCACAGUGUGAUUCAGGGCUGCGUGUGACAUCAACCUGCAUGCUCUGGGGGCACGAGUGUGCCCUCAUUAAAAACAAGCCCUCAAGAGAUGAGAACCAAUCUUUGGAGACACCAGCAUUAAAUGCCAGGAGCUUGGCCGUUGGCUGUAGGAAUUUCCCAAACAGCAACAUCUGUUACUAAGGAAACGACAAUAUCACUGCAAUCCUCUAGCAGCUACUGUUUUACAGCACGGACCAGAGAGACAAUAGUCUUGCACCUGCUCACUCACUCUGUCCUCCCAGCAGCCUUGCCAGGGAUAUGUGUAUGACAUCCUCAGCACACCCUCGGAUGUGAUAUUGUGUGAAUCAGCCCAUUCCUCAGAUGAGGAGACUGAGGCAGCUGGGAAGUGUACCCUGUUUGGGUCACAUAGUGAGGGGCAGAGCUGUGACGACGAAGGUCUCCCACUCCAGCCCCCUCCGUAGAGCCCUGUCCACGGCAUUCAGGCCAACUCUCACACCCGCUGAGUGGCUGUUUCUCAGAGUGUUUAC
rnacentral:lncRNA from 1 species